AACCCCGAGAGAGGGUCAUAUACUUGAAAGGGAUUUUUAUAGUCCUCGCUGUGUUUAUAACUAUUGAAGUUGUAUUAUUAUGGUUCCGCAACUUGCAUCUGUAUGUAUUUUGCUUUCGACAUCGCAAUAACUAUAUCAAUUCAAUUACCUUAAUCACAGCUCCAUUCCGCCAGCAAUCCAUCCCAUGGAUAUGAAUAUAAAAUUGAAAAAUAUUAGCCAGCUACGAAAUAUACUCAUCAAAGGCUCUCUAAAACAUGAACUACCGAUUAAAGAUAUAGCAAAAUAUCCAGAGAAACCUAUAACAUACCUCCAACAAUCCACAUGGUUUGGGUAUGGUCUGAAAUUCCACAAAAAUAUAUACAAAACUUAUUAUUGAUGUAUGAAAUGAACCCACAUUUUAGUUUUUAUUUGUGGUUGGAUCAGAACUCCCUUCAAAAUGCAACAUUGAUUUCCUUCAUUAACCGUGAAAGACUCAGAACAAAGAACGUACAACAUCUUCAGCCGAACGUUCCAGAGCUUAUUGAUGAUGCAAG
rnacentral:lncRNA from 1 species